rnacentral:rRNA from 1 species
GACGUAGGAUGCGAGCGUUGUCCGGAUUUAUUGGGCGUAAAGAGCUCGUAGGCGGUUCGGUAAGUCGGGUGUGAAAACUUUGGGCUCAACCCAAAGCGUGCACUCGAUACUGCCAUGACUAGAGUUCGGUAGGGGAGUGGGGAAUUCCUAGUGUAGCGGUGAAAUGCGCAGAUAUUAGGAGGAACACCGGUGGCGAAGGCGCCACUCUGGGCCGAAACUGACGCUGAGGAGCGAAAGCGUGGGUAGCAAACAGG